CGGGCUAAACCCGCGUACAUGCCACCGGGGCAUCCCGGAGGCAGGAAAGGCUUCGGCCGGACAGGGAUGGGCAUGCGGCGCAUUAGGCAGUAGGCGGGGUAACGGCCCACCUAACCGACGAUGCGUAGGGGUUCUGAGAGGAAGGUCCCCCACACUGGUACUGAGACACGGACCAGACUCCUACGGGAGGCAGCAGUGAGGAAUAUUGGUCAAUGGUCGGGAGACUGAACCAGCCAAGCCGCGUGAGGGAUGAAGGUACAGAGUAUCGUAAACCUCUUUUGUCAGGGAACAAAGGCGGGGACGUGUCCCCGGAUGAGUGUACCUGAAGAAAAAGCAUCGGCUAACUCCGUGCCAGCAGCCGCGGUAAUACGGAGGAUGCGAGCGUUAUCCGGAUUUAUUGGGUUUAAAGGGUGCGCAGGCGGUCUGUUAAGUCAGCGGUCAAAGCCCGGGGCUCAACCCCGGCCCGCCGUUGAAACUGGCAGUCUCGAGUUGGAGAGAAGUAUGCGGAAUGCGCGGUGUAGCGGUGAAAUGCAUAGAUAUCGCGCAGAACUCCGAUUGCGAAGGCGGCAUGCCGGCUCCACACUGACGCUGAGGCACGAAAGCGUGGGUAUCGAACAGGAUUAGAUACCCUGGUAGUCCACGCAGUAAACGA
rnacentral:rRNA from 1 species